rnacentral:rRNA from 1 species
ACGGGUGAGUAAUACAUCGGAACGUAUCCUGGAGUGGGGGAUAGCCCGGCGAAAGCCGGAUUAAUACCGCAUACGCUCUGAGGAGGAAAGCGGGGGACCUUCGGGCCUCGCGCUCAAGGGGCGGCCGAUGGCGGAUUAGGUAGUUGGUGGGGUAAAGGCCUACCAAGCCGACGAUCCGUAGCUGGUCUGAGAGGACGACCAGCCACACUGGGACUGAGACACGGCCCAGACUCCUACGGGAGGCAGCAGUGGGGAAUUUUGGACAAUGGGGGCAACCCUGAUCCAGCAAUGCCGCGUGUGUGAAGAAGGCCUUCGGGUUGUAAAGCACUUUUGUCCGGAAAGAAAUCAUCGGGGCCAAUACCCCUGGUGGAUGACGGUACCGGAAGAAUAAGCACCGGCUAACUACGUGCCAGCGGCCGCGGUAAUACGUAGGGUGCGAGCGUUAAUCGGAAUUACUGGGCGUAAAGCGUGCGCAGGCGGUGCUGUAAGACCGAUGUGAAAUCCCCGGGCUUAACCUGGGAACUGCAUUGGUGACUGCAGCGCUGGAGUAUGGCAGAGGGGGGUGGAAUUCCACGU